GCUACAGGCUUAACACAUGCAAGUCGAGGGGCAGCAUGGUCUUAGCUUGCUAAGGCCGAUGGCGACCGGCGCACGGGUGAGUAACACGUAUCCAACCUGCCGUCUACUCUUGGACAGCCUUCUGAAAGGAAGAUUAAUACAAGAUGGCAUCAUGAGUCCGCAUGUUCACAUGAUUAAAGGUAUUCCGGUAGACGAUGGGGAUGCGUUCCAUUAGAUAGUAGGCGGGGUAACGGCCCACCUAGUCUUCGAUGGAUAGGGGUUCUGAGAGGAAGGUCCCCCACAUUGGAACUGAGACACGGUCCAAACUCCUACGGGAGGCAGCAGUGAGGAAUAUUGGUCAAUGGGCGAGAGCCUGAACCAGCCAAGUAGCGUGAAGGAUGACUGGCCUAUGGGUUGUAAACUUCUUUUAUAAAGGAAUAAAGUCGGGUAUGGAUACCCGUUUGCAUGUACUUUAUGAAUAAGGAUCGGCUAACUCCGUGCCAGCAGCCGCGGUAAUACGGAGGAUCCGAGCGUUAUCCGGAUUUAUUGGGUUUAAAGGGAGCGUAGAUGGAUGUUUAAGUCAGUUGUGAAAGUUUGCGGCUCAACCGUAAAAUUGCAGUUGAUACUGGAUAUCUUGAGUGCAGUUGAGGCAGGCGGAAUUCGUGGUGUAGCGGUGAAAUGCUUAGAUAUCACGAAGAACUCCGAUUGCGAAGGCAGCCUGCUAAGCUGCAACUGACAUUGAGGCUCGAAAGUGUGGGUAUCAAACAGGAUUAGAUACCCUGGUAGUCCACACGGUAAACGAUGAAUACUCGCUGUUUGCGAUAUACAGCAAGCGGCCAAGCGAAAGCGUUAAGUAUUCCACCUGGGGAGUACGCCGGCAACGGUGAAACUCAAAGGAAUUGACGGGGGCCCGCACAAGCGGAGGAACAUGUGGUUUAAUUCGAUGAUACGCGAGGAACCUUACCCGGGCUUAAAUUGCAGAUGAAUUACGGUGAAAGCCGUAAGCCGCAAGGCAUCUGUGAAGGUGCUGCAUGGUUGUCGUCAGCUCGUGCCGUGAGGUGUCGGCUUAAGUGCCAUAACGAGCGCAACCCUUGUUGUCAGUUACUAACAGGUUCCGCUGAGGACUCUGACAAGACUGCCAUCGUAAGAUGUGAGGAAGGUGGGGAUGACGUCAAAUCAGCACGGCCCUUACGUCCGGGGCUACACACGUGUUACAAUGGGGGGUACAGAGGGCCGCUACCACGCGAGUGGAUGCCAAUCCCCAAAACCUCUCUCAGUUCGGACUGGAGUCUGCAACCCGACUCCACGAAGCUGGAUUCGCUAGUAAUCGCGCAUCAGCCACGGCGCGGUGAAUACGUUCCCGGGCCUUGUACACACCGCCCGUCAAGCCAUGGGAGCCGGGGGUACCUGAAGUGCGUAACCGCGAGGAGCGCCCUAGGGUAAAACUGGUGACUGGGGCUA
rnacentral:rRNA from 1 species